GACGAACGCUGGCGGCGUGCUUAACACAUGCAAGUCGAACGGAAAGGCCCUGCUUGCAGGGUACUCGAGUGGCGAACGGGUGAGUAACACGUGGGUGAUCUGCCCUGCACUUCGGGAUAAGCCUGGGACACUGGGUCUAAUACCGGCGAGGUGCCAUUUUUAGUGUGAUGGUUGGAAAGUUUUUUCGGUGUAGGAUGAGCUCGUGGCCUAUCAGCUUGGUGGUGGGGUAAUGGCCUACCAAGGCGGCUCCGGGUAGCCGGACUGGGAGGGUGGACGGCCACAUUGGGACUGAGAUACGGCCCAGACUCCGACGGGAGGAAGCAGUGGGGAAUAUUGCACAAUGGGCGCAAGCCUGAUGCAGCGACGCCGCGUGGGGGAUGACGGCCUUCGGGUUGUAAACUCCUUUCGCUAGGGACGAAGCUGUUUGUGACGGUACCUAGAUAAGAAGCACCGGCUAACUACGUG
rnacentral:rRNA from 1 species